rnacentral:rRNA from 1 species
GACGAACGCUGGCGGCGUGCUUAACACAUGCAAGUCGUACGGUAAGGCCCUUUCGGGGGUACACGAGUGGCGAACGGGUGAGUAACACGUGAGUAACCUGCCCACAACUUUGGGAUAACGCUAGGAAACUGGUGCUAAUACUGGAUAUGUGCUCCUGCUGCGUGGUGGGGGUUGGAAAGCUCCGGCGGUUGUGGAUGGACUCGCGGCCUAUCAGCUUGUUGGUGGGGUAGUGGCCUACCAAGGCGGCGACGGGUAGCCGGCCUGAGAGGGUGACCGGCCACAUUGGGACUGAGAUACGGCCCAGACUCCUACGGGAGGCAGCAGUGGGGAAUAUUGCACAAUGGGCGCAAGCCUGAUGCAGCAACGCCGCGUGCGGGAUGACGGCCUUCGGGUUGUAAACCGCUUUCAGCAGGGACGAAGCUUUUUGUGACGGUACCUGCAGAAGAAGCACCGGCUAACUACGUG